AAAAAUGUCAUUAAAGUCACUACACAGAAAACAAAAACAAAUUCAGAUAAUGCAUGAUAAGAGCAACAUGUUCAAUUGGCAAAAACUAGCUAAAAUUUACCUAUCAUCUUUCCAAUAAGAAUGGUGAUCCAACUCAGGUACAACUAAAGUAGCAUUAAGAAUCCGUGCUACAACUACUGCAUCUGUUAUCUGUCUCAUAAAAAGAACAUUUAGUCUCAAUGAGAACCAUAACUAUAUGCAUACUCUAUUGAGCAUAUCACUUACUCCUGUUCUUUGCUGGUUCAGACCUCCACUAGCCGCAAUCAGCAAAUAACCAUUAGACGAGUGGUCCUGGACAGCAGCUGCAUAUCCCCAAAACAA